AGCAGCCGCGGUAAUUCCAGCUCCAAUAGCGUAUAUUAAAGUUGUUGCAGUUAAAAGCUCGUAGUUGAAUUUCGGGAUCAGUUGGUCGGUCGUGCCUCGGUACGUACUGGUCAAAUUGAUUCCUACCUUCUGACGAACCACGAUGUCAUUAAUUUGGUGUCGCGGGAAAUCAGGACUGUUACUUUGAAAAAUUGAGUGUUUAAAGCAGGCUCGCGCUUGAAUACAUUAGCAUGGAAUAAUGAAAUAGGACGUUUGAUUCUAUUUUGUUGGUUUCUAGGAUCGACGUAAUGAUUAAUAGGGAUAGUUGGGGGCAUUAGUGUUCAAUUGUCAGAGGUGAAAUUCUUGGAUUUAUUGAAGACUAACUACUGCGAAAGCAUUUGCCAAGGAUGUUUUCAUUAAUCAAGAACGAAAGUUAGGGAUCGAAGACGGUCAGAUACCGUCGUAGUCUUAACCAUAAACUAUGCCGACUAGGGAUCGGAUGAUGUUAAUUUUUAAUGUACUCAUUCGGCGUCCUUACGGG
rnacentral:misc_RNA from 1 species